CAGCCGCCGCGGUAAUACAGAGGAUGCAAGCGUUAUCCGGAAUGAUUGGGCGUAAGGCGUCUGUAGGUGGCUUUUCAAGUCCGCCGUCAAAUCCCAGGGCUCAACCCUGGACAGGCGGUGGAAACUACCAAGCUGGAGUACGGUAGGGGCAGAGGGAAUCUCCGGUGGAGCGGUGAAAUGCGUUGAGAUCGGAAAGAACACCAACGGCGAAGGCGACUCUCUGGUCUGUAACUGACGCUGAGGAGCGAAAGCGUGGGGAGCGAACAGGAUUAGAUACCCCGGUAGUCCCUGUCUCUUAUAA
rnacentral:rRNA from 1 species